AAAUGAUUAUGCUUACAAAAUUUAAGAAAACAUAUAAAAUUUAAUGUAAAUGUGUAUAUUAUUCAUGUUUAUUUAUAAAUAUAUAUUUACUUAAACCCAACCACACACAUAAAUCCCUUUUGAAAAUGGUAUAGACCCAUAAACAAAAUCGACCAAAAACCAGGAAGCCCGCUAAACACCAAUCUACAAGCUUCAAGAACGCUCUAAUAACUACUAUAUAGCACGCCUUUUGCACACAAGUCCGUAUAUGGAACAUUAUUAAAAACUAAGUAUGGCUAUCAAACAACCAAGAUUCAUUUAAAGCAAUAUAGCUAUUUUAUUUCAAUUUUUGUUCCAGUUUGUAUGCCGUAACGUAUAUAAAAACUGUGCAGCUCGCACAUCGCAGCGAUGUGAGUUACAACCCCGACACUCGUCAACGUUGUGCACACUGACAGUACCCUGGAAAAGUCGGUGGGUGGAAACAUAGUGCAACCCCAUCACAGCCCGUCAAUAGCAAGUUGGGGUAUCAAGGAUGGCUGGCGAGAAUGGUCAGCUUUUGGUUCAGAACCGGAAUGGAAAAUGCUGAGCCAAACCACCUUCACUUUUAGCCUUAUUGAAAGUGGGUAACAAGAUAACAAUAGAAUAACAUUAAGAAAGUCUGAAGCCUACUCAUUGAUUGUCAACAACAUAUUACAACUUUGAUGGUGUAACAGUAAACAACCCUAUUUUAUACAUACAAGAUACAGGGCAGACAGACAGAUAACCCAGAUCCUUUCAACCUGCUUUUGAAUUCUGGAGCUCUUCAUUCUAAUACUGCAAUUUAGCAGUGUCUUCACUUUACAAUGGUCAACUUUUUUAAUCAGUGGCUGAGUUAACCCCUAUGAAAAUGCAUCCUGUUGGACUUCAGUCAGUUUGCAGAGACAGAAAUUUGAACAAGAUAAAAUUAUGUAUAUUUAUGGCAUAAAUUUGUAAAAAAAGCUCAUGUUUGUUGUGUCUGUUGUUCAUAAAAAAUGUCCUAUUGGAUAAGUUCCCAGCUAAUAAUUUGUUAGAACAAAGUUACAAUAGCGAUGCACUUUGGUUUUCAAAAUGUUUUUCUGUAGAACCAUCAAUACAUAUUUUUUUAUAUUUUUGUUUGCUUUUUUUGUGGCAGAGGGGGACUUAUCUGGCCACAAAUAAAAUUUCAUUUUCAAUCGAAAUCGCCAUUAUUGGUGGUUUCACUAAACAAGGUAUAAAAGUCUUGCCUUUAAUAUCUUAAAUUUCAAAAAUUAUAUUUUUAUACCUUAGUUAAUAAUAAUAGUGUAGAUUUGUAGAGCGCUGGUAUCUAUAAAACAAGAUGCUUAUGGCGCUUGAUAUAUGGACUAAGAACUUGAUAAUAAUAAUAUUUAUAUAGCUCAAUAUAUUUAAUAUUGAUCAAUAACUUUCUUUGCCCCCAAGGGUCCCUUUGUGUCUGUGCUACCCGGUUACCCGGUACCAGCAGCUCUCGUCGUCCACCACAGGGGCCAGGGGCGUAGCGUGGGGGAGUCGAUGGGUGCGGUCGACCCCCCCUUUUAAAGAAAGUGCCCUUUAAAUAUGCUCGCUUCACACACAAAUAACGCACCCCGCUAAUUCUGAAAGCUUCGCUAAAUUGCUCUGAGUUCAGCUUGCGCCCCGCGCUUUCGUUUCGACCCCCCCUCUUUAAUUUUUAACCGUAUGCCCCUGGGGCCUGUCUGUACCAGUAAACAGGUGUGUACCAGUAAACAGGUGUAUCCCCCUACUCAUUUUGAAUGAUGUACUGGGUUCUUUAUAGUGCACAAUCCGUACGGAUUAUAGUCCUUAUCCGACAAGAUUUGUUCUACAACCAGAAUCAUAGGCGAGUAUGCUGUUCGAACCAGCGACGAUAUCAAUGGCUGUACGUUGCAACGCCCCUGGCUUAACCGCUCGGCCAUUUGACUGGCCUAUAAUGAGUUAAAUUGCACUAAAAAUAAAUUGAUAAACAAAUAAAAAUUAAAUUUUUACUCUUUUAAAUUGUAUUUUUUGUACAAUUUAUGACUGUUUUUUUCUAUGUUUUUUUUUAUGCGACACUAACAAGAGACAGAGUUUCACAUUUUUAAAUUCCAAUAAUUAUAUUUUUAUACCUUAAUGAGAUAAACUGCACUAAACAUAAAUUAAUAAACAAAUAAAAAUUAAAUUUUUAUUCUUUUUAAAUUGUAAUUUUUGUACAUUUUGUAUUUUUAUGACUUCGUUUUUCUGUAUGUUUUAUAUUUUUUUUUAUUUGAUUGCAACGAGAAACAGAGUCACAUUUUCUUGAUGUGAAAAUAAGGUAUAUUUAUGUCUAUGUAAUGUAUCCAAAACCUUCACAACAUUUCCAACAUUACCAUUUUGUGUUUUAAAGGGUUACAGUAGUUAUGCACCACAUGUACCCGUAGCAUAUUUUUUAAAGAUACUUGAAAGGAUCCCUCAGUUGGGACAUCGAAGGCGGAGGUAAUGUACUGUAACCUAACAUUGGAACAUAUGAUUAACAUA
rnacentral:lncRNA from 1 species